rnacentral:rRNA from 1 species
CAUGCAGUCGAGCGAUGAAGCUUCCUUCGGGAAGUGGAUUAGCGGCGGACGGGUGAGUAACACGUGGGUAACCUGCCUCAAAGUGGGGGAUAGCCUUCCGAAAGGAAGAUUAAUACCGCAUAAUAUAAGAGAAUCGCAUGAUUUUCUUAUCAAAGAUUUAUUGCUUUGAGAUGGACCCGCGGCGCAUUAGCUAGUUGGUAAGGUAACGGCUUACCAAGGCAACGAUGCGUAGCCGACCUGAGAGGGUGAUCGGCCACAUUGGAACUGAGACACGGUCCAGACUCCUACGGGAGGCAGCAGUGGGGAAUAUUGCGCAAUGGGGGAAACCCUGACGCAGCAACGCCGCGUGGGUGAUGAAGGUCUUCGGAUUGUAAAGCCCUGUUUUCUAGGACGAUAAUGACGGUACUAGAGGAGGAAGCCACGGCUAACUACGUGCCAGCAGCCGCGGUAAUACGUAGGUGGCGAGCGUUGUCCGGAUUUACUGGGCGUAAAGGGUGCGUAGGCGGAUGUUUAAGUGGGAUGUGAAAUCCCCGGGCUUAACCUGGGGGCUGCAUUCCAAACUGGAUAUCUAGAGUGCAGGAGAGGAAAGCGGAAUUCCUAGUGUAGCGGUGAAAUGCGUAGAGAUUAGGAAGAACACCAGUGGCGAAGGCGGCUUUCUGGACUGUAACUGACGCUGAGGCACGAAAGCGUGGGUAGCAAACAGGAUUAGAUACCCUGGUAGUCCACGCCGUAAACGAUGGAUACUAUGUGUAGGGGGUAUCAACUCCCCCUGUGCCGCAGUUAACACAAUAAGUAUCCCGCCUGGGGAGUACGGUCGCAAGAUUAAAACUCAAAGGAAUUGACGGGGGCCCGCACAAGCAGCGGAGCAUGUGGUUUAAUUCGAAGCAACGCGAAGAACCUUACCUGGACUUGACAUCCCUUGCAUAGCCUAGAGAUAGGUGAAGCCCUUCGGGGCAAGGAGACAGGUGGUGCAUGGUUGUCGUCAGCUCGUGUCGUGAGAUGUUAGGUUAAGUCCUGCAACGAGCGCAACCCUUGUUAUUAGUUGCUACCAUUAAGUUGAGCACUCUAAUGAGACUGCCUGGGUAACCAGGAGGAAGGUGGGGAUGACGUCAAAUCAUCAUGCCCCUUAUGUCCAGGGCUACACACGUGCUACAAUGGUAGGUACAAUAAGACGCAAGACCGUGAGGUGGAGCAAAACUUAUAAAACCUAUCUCAGUUCGGAUUGUAGGCUGCAACUCGCCUACAUGAAGCUGGAGUUGCUAGUAAUCGCGAAUCAGAAUGUCGCGGUGAAUACGUUCCCGGGCCUUGUACACACCGCCCGUCACACCAUGAGAGCUGGUAACACCCGAAGUCCGUGUGUAACCGUAAGGAGCCAGCGGCCGAAGGUGGGAUUAGUGAUUGGGGUGAAGU